rnacentral:rRNA from 1 species
UAAUACGUAGGGUGCGAGCGUUAAUCGGAAUUACUGGGCGUAAAGUGUGCGCAGGCGGCCGCGCAAGUCGAGUGUGAAAUCCCCGAGCUUAACUUGGGAAUUGCGCUCGAAACUACGUGGCUGGAGUGUGGCAGAGGAAGGUGGAAUUCCACGUGUAGCGGUGAAAUGCGUAGAGAUGUGGAGGAACACCGAUGGCGAAGGCAGCCUUCUGGGCCAACACUGACGCUCAUGCACGAAAGCGUGGGGAGCAAACAGGAUUAGAUACCCUGGUAGUCCACGCCCUAAACGAUGAUGACUAGUUGUUGGAGGAGUUAAAUCCUUUAGUAACGCAGCUAACGCGUGAAGUCAUCCGCCUGGGGAGUACGGUCGCAAGAUUA